GGCGGGCCUAGGGCGCCUAGAGUCUUGCGAGUUGGGAAGGGUUAGUGUCCCUCACCUCGACUUGCAUCCUCUUCCCGCCCCUUCGUCCCGCGCUGGCACGCCAGGACCUUUUCCCUAAGUAGAACUGAGGAAUGCCCAGAGUGGGGGACUCGGCGAGCGCCCAAGUGACAGAGAGCCCCCAGGGCAUCCUGGGUUUGUAGGGACUAUGGGCAUGCUCAGGGCAGGGCUGUGCCCGGGCCUCACCGAGGAGACCGUCCAGCUUCUCAGAGGCCGAAAGAUAAAAACAGUGGCAGACCUGGCAGCUGCUGACUUGGAGGAAGUAGCCCAGAAGUGUGGCUUGUCCUACAAGGCCCUCGUUGCCCUGAGGAGGGUGUUGCUGGCGCAGUUCUCGGCUUUCCCCUUAAAUGGCGCAGAUCUCUAUGAGGAACUGAAGACUUCCACGGCCAUCCUGUCCACCGGCAUCGGAAGGUUUGUAUGCGAACCUGGACAAGCCUGGACAAACUACUUGAUGCUGGCCUCUAUACUGGGGAGGUGACUGAAAUUGUGGGUGGCCCAGGUAGCGGCAAAACCCAGGUGUGUCUCUGUGUGGCUGCAAAUGUGGCCCAUAGCCUGCAGCAGAAUGUACUGUAUGUGGAUUCCAAUGGAGGAAUGACGGCGUCCCGCCUCCUCCAGCUACUACAGGCUAGAACCCAAGAUGAGGAGAAACAGGCAAGUGCUCUCCAGAGGAUACAGGUGGUGCGUUCAUUUGACAUCUUCCGGAUGCUAGAUAUGCUACAGGACCUUCGCGGCACCAUAGCCCAGCAGGAAGCAACUUCUUCAGGCGCCGUGAAGGUUGUGAUUGUGGACUCGGUCACUGCAGUGGUCGCCCCACUUCUGGGAGGUCAGCAGAGGGAAGGCCUGGCCUUGAUGAUGCAGCUGGCCCGAGAGCUCAAGAUCCUGGCCCGGGACCUGGGUGUGGCAGUGGUGGUGACCAACCACUUGACUCGAGAUUGGGAUGGUAGAAGAUUCAAACCUGCCCUUGGACGCUCCUGGAGCUUUGUGCCCAGUACCCGGAUUCUCCUGGAUGUCACUGAGGGGGCUGGGACACUCGGUAGCAGCCAACGCACAGUAUGUCUGACCAAGUCUCCCCGCCAGCCAACGGGUCUGCAGGAGAUGAUAGACAUUGGGACAUUGGGGACUGAGGAGCAGAGCCCAGAAUUACCUGGCAAGCAGACGUGACACUGUUGAUUGGGAAAGGGACAGCCUCAAGGCCCCCACAGCUUUCCUUCCCGGGCAGCUACUGUCCCCUGCCACAUGGGACCUAGCAGUGCAGAGGUCUCAGGCUCAUCAGAAGACAAGCCUCAGUCCCCUCAGCUUCAUUGUGUGAGAUCUCAUGGAGCCCCUGGCCAGGGGAUGCUGCAGUGAGAGAGACCUAGAAGUCCAUCAGGGUCUCAAGUUUUCUUCCUUUGUGUCUACCGAAUGUUUCCAGUGUGGGUUGAGGUCAACCUAGCUUGAGGCCUCACUGAAGAAACACAGUAGUACCUGCAUGAAUAGUGUCCUGGUCCUGUGUGUUACCAUUGGUUCCUAAACCCCUCCCUCACACAGUAAUUGGGCCUUUGCUCACCCAUUCCCCCCCCCCCAUUUAUUUUGGUCUGUUUUCCCAUCUGCAAGAUGGCAGUUUCUCAGUCUGCAAGUUAUUCAGUAGAAACAACCUCAGAAAUGUCAACCUCUUUAUGCAUAUCCUACUUUUUUAAUGUCCUACUCUUAAAUAUAUAUAACCAAGGAGGCCCUCUGAGCCCUAGAGCCACCUGAUUUCCCCUAAGAAGGUGGGUUUUUUAGUUCGUGCAGUGGGGCUCCCAGAGAAUGAGAGUGCCUCCUUCCCUGCUUGCUGACUGGGUUUCACACACCUGCAUACCUCACCCUGAUAGGUGAGAACACAGCUCGCUGCUGUCCCAGGGAUAUAAUUUACCAGGGAGGAAGGCUAUGACCUGCUCUCAGUGAACCAGACACUUGUUUCAUAUGCAUGGUGGCCUGUGGGGUGCUUCCUCAGUCUAGAGUAACCAGAGGUGCUGAACCAUAGCCUAACCCAUAAACAGACACAGGAGAAUUUGCACAGUAAAUAGAGCCAGCUGGGAAAAUUGAUGCCGGCGUAAAUAAUACAUGGCAAAUCUAGUCUUUUAUACAGAAAUUCAUUGCUGGUGGCUCUAAGAUGCAGUAUAAUUACACCUCUCGUCCUGCCAGCUGUACCACAGCCUCAUGUCUUAGUGAAUAAAAUAACCCCCUGUCUGUUACCAACACUGUGGCCAUCCAUCUGAGAGUCAUAACUCUGGCUGAAAGGGGAGGAUGGUACCAGGAACGGCAAAUAAAAGGCAGAGAGAAAUGAUCUGGGUUGUUUAUGGACCACAGUUUUUACAGGAAGGUCAUGCUUGGUUAGAGAGCCCGUUGUAUAAUUGCUUGUGUCCUAGCUGAGGGAAAGAGGGAACACAGUUAUAGGAUCUGAUAUUUAGGGCCAGUGAGAUGGCUCAGCCAGUGAAGAUGCUUGCCACCAAGCCAGACAAUCCGAGUUCAAUCCCUGGGUCCCACAUAAUGGGAAGAGAGAAGAGAGACUUGCAAAUGGUCCUCUGGCUUCCAUACAUCCUGUGGACUAUCUACGCCUCUGAUGUGUGAUAAUAAAAAUGUAACAAUUAAAAAAAGAAAACAAGACCUUUACAGGUGAUAGGCAUAGCAGGGAUAGGCAUAGGCCUGAAGGAUGGAGAUGAAUGACAAAGGGGCAGGGGGUGUUUGCACGAACGACAAUGUGGUUAGACUUAAACUCUCACACUGUCUUCCACAGAAGACCCCAGGAGACAUCAGUCUCUGGUAUCUACACCAUGGCUGGUUGGUUGGCAGGUUACUUCCUGCAACCCAAGUGAGAAGCAAUAUAUUAAACCAGGCAAAGCAAAUACCGGCCACUCUUGAUGCGCUUUGGCCAUCGAGACCUUAGCAGAUGGUACCAGUUAGUCAAGGGCACUCUCAUGGAAUGUUUCACAGUUUCUUAGUGCAGUUUUGCAAGGAACCACUGCAAGUUAGGGACUUGGGUGUUCAGGGAGGAGCCCGGUUGCCGGCUCUCCCCUGGGCGGGUCUGCCCUGUAUCCUGCCCGUUGUGAUUUCAAGUGCUUCAUAUGUGAGUGAGAACAGCACUGUAUUAGAGACCCAUAAGGAUCAUUUGGCCUGGAUUGUCUCCCACACCCCCAGCCCCUGCUCUCCAUCCCACAAAUGUGGGAUGACUCGAAUCCAGGACCUUGUGUGUGCUAACCAUAGCUUCCACCACUGAGAUGCACAGCCAGCUCCCAUCUCAUAUUGUUAAGAGAAAGAACCAAGCCUUUAAAUGUGACAGUUCUGGUGGCAGAACUAAAGGCCCCCUGUGUCUCUUCUUGUUCUUUCUGCAUUUGUGAGAGCUUGUGAGUGAGUGGCUUUAAUGCCUUUUAGAGAUAUCAAAGCGUGGCCUAGGGGUGCUAGGAUGCUUGCCUAGCACCGACAAAGCUCUAGAUUUGAUCCUUAGAUCAAGAAAAAUGUAAGAGAGUGAUGUAGGAUUGUUUCUCUCAUGAUGUGGAUAGCCAUUAGGCCCCUGCUGUCUUUUGUCUUCUUUCACCAUCAUACAAGGUCUUUGUAUGUCUGUUUGAAACUAGACAAAAUUAAUGUUAAAUACCUACUGUCCAAUAGCACUUGAUGGUCUCAAGUCGGGAAGCUGAGCUUUCCUAACAGGAUUAAAAAGAAAAAAAAAGUCCAUGUAUUAUUGAGGCUGCUUUCCAUAGCAAGUAACAAAACUCCACUUAGGCAUCAAUGAUAAGGAAGGUUACUCAUCGCUGAGAAGGUGAUACCAAGGCUGAUCAAUGCAAUGGCCCAAUGUGGAAAAGCCGUGGCUUUUCUCUCCGUCUUCCCUGUUGCUUUUGUUCUCAAGCUUGUUGCCUUCAUUAAAACCUGGCUGUAGCCUCUCUGAGCAGUAGGCCAUAUACGACAAUACCCACGGGCAGGGAAGGGACCCUCUCCUUGUGUCCUUUGAGGAGCAAGGAAAACUCAGAGCAUCCUAAUGUCAAGUGGUAUGUCCCAUUCAGUAGUGGAAAAGGAAAUGGGGCCUGUUCUAGUUGCAGUUUGUGUUGCUGUGAAGAGACACCAUGACCAAGGCAACUUUUAUAAAGGAUAACAUUUAAUUGAGGCUGGCUUACAGUUGCAGAGGUGGGAAGAAUGAUAGCGUGCAGGUUGACACGGGGCUAGAGGAGCGGUUCUGAUCCUAGGGCAGCCGGAAGGAGGGUCUUGACCACACUGGGUGGAGCUUGAGCAUAGACCCUCAAAGCCCACCCCAACAGUGACGCACUUCCUUCAACAAGGCCACACCUCCUAAGAGUGUCACUCCUUGUGGGCCAAGCAUUCAAACACUAUGGGGGGGGGGGGGCAAAAACCUAUUCAAACUACCACAGUGCCUCAGUGGUAGUUUUAGACCAACCAAGAAACAGUCAUGGAGUUGGGGCUCUGGCUAAGCUUUUAUUUACUUAUUAUUUAUUUAUUUAUUUAUUUAUUUAUUUAUUUAUUUAUUUAUUUAUUUGAGGCACCUGCUGUGGGAUAGACUGUGUGGAGGAAUUAGACAGUGGGUGGGCUUGUGUGUGUGCUCAGUGCCUUAGCACAGGUCUCACUGAGGGCCUAGGACAAGCUGAGUGGCGCUGAGAAUCUCUUCAUUUUACAGACUAAAUGGAGCUUGUUGAGGUUUUAGGACAUGUUUCUGUUAAGCGACAGCAUGGGAGUCUAAACUUGAAUCCGUUUGAUGCCAGACUUUCUUUUCUCAACCUCUUGCUGCUUUCAGCUGAAAAUAUGUAAAUAUUUUAACAAAAUUCUCUUUCAUAUUUUGCCCCAAACAGCAGAGGCUGCGUAUCUCAACCCCUUUUCAGCUGAGCUCACCAUAAAAAGCUCGAUCACAGAUCUGCUUUAUCACCUCUCCCUAGUUUCCUUUCCCCCAGGGAAGAGAGAAUGACAAAUACUCGAGAGAAGGCAGAUAGCGUGUGUGUGUGUGUGUGUGUGUGUGUGUGUGUGUGUGUGUGUGUGUGUAAGAGAGCUGAAGGGUUAGAGGGGAGGAAAGCUGAAUGAGAAACAGCAGGCUCUGCGCAUGCCUGACAACCAGGAGAUAAGGCAUAGAGAUGUAAGCAGAGCCUGCUAGGCUUUCACUGUAUUCUGGCUGGGAGGUGUCUGGGUAGAGUUUCAGCUGUCCAGUUCUUUGUGUUGGUGAUGUGUGUGUAUGUACAGCUGAAAUUAUAAAAUGAAUAUGUAGCUGGGUGGUGGUGGUGCACGCCUUUAAUCCCAGCACUUGGGAGGCAGAGGCAGGUGGAUUUCUGAGUUCGAGGCCAGCCUGGUCUAUAAAGUGACCAGGACAGCCAGGGCCACACAGAGAAACCCUGUCUUUAAAAAAACAAAACAAACAAACAAAAAAAAAAAAACAAAAAAAAAAGGAAAAAAAAAGAAAAAUAAUAAAAUGAAUAUGUAUAUUUUUAUACUACAUGUAUGUGUGUAUGCAUUGUACACCACAUUGUGGUGGUCUGAAUAAGAAAGGCCCCAUAGGCUUAUCUAUGUGAAUGUUUAGUCAUUAGGGAGUGGCACUUCUUGAGAAGGAUUAGGAGGUGUGGUACUGUUGGAAGGAGUGUGUCACUGGGGUUAGGCUUUGAAGUCUCAAAAGCCCAAGCCAGGUCCAGUUUCUCUCUCUUCCUACUGCCUGUGGAUCCAGAUGUAGAACUCUCACCUAUUUCUCUAGCACCAUGUCUGCCUGUGUGCCGCCAUGCUCCCCACCAUGAUGAUAAUGCAUGAAACCUCUGAAACAUUAAGCCAGCCCCAAUUAAAUAUCUUCUAAGAGUCACCUUGAUCAUAGUGUCUCUUCCCAGCAAUAGAACAGAGACCAAGACAUACACACAUAUGAUUUUUUUAUUUUUACUUUUUGGAGAAAAGGUGUCUGACCUGGUGAGAUCUUGAACCUUCAGUUCUCCUGCUUCAGCCUCCAGACUGCUGGAUUAUAGGUCUGUGUCAACUCAACUGGCUUCGUUUCCUCCAUUGCUUGUUUUAUUCAUUUUAUCUUUCAAAAGAUUUAUUUAUUUUAUGUAUAUGAAUGUUUUGUCUGCAUGUAGAUAUGUGCACCCUGUGUGUACCUGGUGCUUAUGGAGGCCAGAGGAAAGUAUUGGAUCUCCUGGAACUAGACUUACAGGUAUUUGGGAGCCACUAUAUAGUAGCUGCAAACUAAACCCAGAUACUCUGCAAGAUCAACAAAUGCACUUAAUAGCUGAGCCAUCCUUCCAGUCCCUUAUUUUGAAUAAGAGCAAGGUAUAGUAUCAGUCAGGUAGUAAAGCACUGUCUAGCAUGUCUAAGGUCCUGGUUUUAAUAUCUAGUACACCAGCUCCGCACAUACAGACAGACAACAUUCACCAUUAAUGCCUCUAUUUAUCUAUCUAUCUACCUAUCAUCUAUCUCUCUGUAAAAGAGUAGGAUUCUUGACUCCCAAGUACUGAGAUUAAAGGUGUGUGCCCUCACCAGCUGUCAACAGCUUGACAUAUUGACGUGUGUGUGUGUGUGUGUGUGUGUGUGUGUGUGUGUGUGUGUGUGUGUGUGUGUGUGUGUGCCGUGAUGUCUGGCUGAUUUUUAUGGAGAGUCAUAUCCUGAGAUGUUAGAGUGGCCCAUGGUUGGUGAUUUAGGACUUUGGAAUCAAGGAAAGACCCAGGUUUAGUACCUUGCUGCACUCUUCCUGCCAGAGUCCCCUUGGACAAGAUAAUGUGUUUGUUUUACUGGUAAAAAUCUAUGUUAUACAGAGUUACAUUUUCCUUAUUGGUAAAAUGUGUAUCUCAGGGGAGUUAAGUAGGUGAUUUAUGCAAAGUGCCUUUCACAGAGAGACUAGCACAUAGUAGGUGCUCCAUCACUAUUAGUUCUUCUGGCGCCUGCCAGAAGUAACAGAAAUCAGGGCACUAGGACUUAGAAGCCUUGCUGCUACUAAUAAAAGAAAUAAUGUGAUUUAUUUUUUCAGUGCUGUUUGGGGAAAGGCGUGUGCUUUAUAAAUAUGUAUUGGAAAGUACUUAGCAAAUGAGUAGAAAUAAUAAAAAUAUGUCAAAG